rnacentral:rRNA from 1 species
AUGGCAGCUGAAGCAGCUCCCCUAGACUUGUCUCUCACGUUGGCCCCCAUGUCUCCUUGGGCUGUUCUUCCUUCUGGCAGCAGUAGCCACCGCAGCGGCGCCGCAAGAUCGAGGCUCUUCUCUUGCCUCUUCUGCGAGAGGAAGUUCCUCAAGUCUCAGGCGCUAGGGGGGCAUCAGAACGCGCACAGGAAGGAGAGGGUCGUCGGCAGCUGGAACGCCCACCUCUACCUCCCUGACCAUCCUCGUCCCCCGUUGCCGGACACCGCGACGGGUUACCUUGUUGACGACGGCGACGAAGACAAGUACCAGAAGCUUGAUCUUAACCUCAAGCUUUAA